GGGAACAGAUAAAGGAGACGAGCGCACAGGAAUCACUAGAUGUUAAACAAAGAGGACAAGACAGACGAACACAGAACAAAGGAAAAGACUCAUAAACACAGAGAUGAAACAUAAGCUAACAUUAUCUCUCUAUAUAAUAAACAAUCAAAACACCAAAAUAACUCAAAAAAUGCUGGGACACAGACGCAGCCCCUGACAAUGUAUUAGAAAGAUUAUUCAGAAGUUUAUAAAAUCACAAUCUCAAGGCCCAAAUAUUUAAAAAAUGAACCACCUGAUGUCAAAACGCAGUAAAAGUCCAGUCAAAUCGUGACUAUAUAAAAUAUCACAAACUUCAAACGAGUCACCGAUUAUUAAAGGUUUCAUAGUUUUUUAUCAGAACGCUCAAACAGAAAUGCAAACUGGACGAUGGAUCGUCCACGGAGGAUGACUGAGGCCCAGUGUGAGAUACAGAAGGAUUAUUUUGGACUAUGAAUUAUGCAAAGCUGCUCUGGCACCUGUUUGUAUUAUUGGUACAAUAUUUUACCUUACAAUAUAAAACUCAUUGAGCCAUCCGUUGUUGUGAUUUGGCGCUAUAUAAAUAAACCUUCUGUCUUCUGUUCUGCUCUCUGUGUUUGUAUCUGAAGCGGAAAAUCAUCGUCAGCGGGUCUCAGCCUGUCCAGCUGAACGAGAGCAGCAGAUGGUUUACUCAGUGGUCACCGUGCACGAACCCGCCUCCUUGGAAAAUCAUCACCGGCAGGUCUCAGCAGGAAGAGAAGAGGAGCUUCAGGAGGUUUAUUCAGAGGCCAUUUCUAUAUCCUGUGAGUCCUGUGAGAACAGGAAGUUAUUAUCUCUGCUGACCUUAUUUGUCAUUGACAGAAGCAGCUUCAUUCACACAAGCUGCUCCCAGACUUAUUGUGACUCCUGCAGAAUUCAGGUUUUACUUUGAAACAAUACUUCAAAGUACUGUUUCGAAUUUUCACUUAGUGCAGCUAUUUUCAGAUAAAUCAGCUUCCUGCAUGCAAACUACACGACAACAGCAACCUGCCAGUGACCGAAGCAAUCACAAGGAGGUUUUUGGUGAAAAAGCAUGAAUCUGUUUGCAACCGAUUCUCACCCAGUGACAGCCAGCAAUCUCCAGCAACCAGAUGCCAACUGGUCUCUAGACGCGUCAGAUGGUUUAACCGUGUGGUUCAGAUGAAACACAGCCCGUGGUCAUUCUGGUGUGUGGACGCUGUGUCAAACAGACCUGAGAUCAGACUUUAACGGCUGAACUGUUCUUUGUUUCAGGCGACUUGUACUCUCCAAUGAACAUCCACGACUGAGCGAGGAACAGCAGAAAAAGUCAGACUUGCCAAACAACCUGAAUUUUGAAAGUCACACCUCGACGUUCGUCCAGACUUGGAAACAUCACGAAGCUGUUCUGUUGCUCAGCAACGUGGAGCUUUUAAUUCAGACACUGUCUCCAGCCUCCAUCAUUGUCGCUCACGCUUCACCUGGUCCAGCUCCACCGCUCAAACUACCCAACACUCGCACGCCGCUCCUGUUCUUGCUCCCCAUCGCCUGCUUUCAGCUAACCUACUGUUACUCGCCUCGCAGCUGAUGCCUCGCAGCUGAUGCCUCGCAGCUGAUGCCUCGCAGCUGAUGCCUCGCCUCGCAGCUGAUGCCUCGCAGCUGAUGCCUCGCAGCUGAUGCCUCGCAGGUGAACCCUGUUAGAUGUGGCAGAUUCGUGUCUCGAUCGAGCGGGGGUCUUUCAUUGUUAGACAAAUGUGUAAAAACGUGAAACACUGAACAUCAGGUUUCAUGUUUUUUCGUUAAUAAAGUUUUGUUCAAAUAAGA